AAUGAACGCUGGCGGCGUGCCUAACACAUGCAAGUCGCGCGCGAAAGGGGAGCAAUCUCCGAGUAGAGCGGCGGACGGGUGAGUAACACGUGGGUAAUCUGCCUAGGAGCGGGGGAUAACCUGGGGAAACUCGGGCUAAUACCGCAUACGAUCACGGGGUCCAGACCCCUGUGCUGAAAGGUGGCCUCUGCUUGCAAGCUACCACUCCUAGAGGAGCCCGCGCCNGAUUAGCUAGUUGGUGGGGUAACGGCCUACCAAGGCGACGAUCAGUAGCCGGCCUGAAAGGGCGAUCGGCCACACUGGAACUGAGACACGGUCCAGACUCCUACGGGAGGCAGCAGUGAGGAAUCUUGCGCAAUGGGGAAACCCUGACGCAGCAACGCCGCGUGGAGGAUGAAGGUCUUCGGAUUGUAAACUCCUGUCAGAGGGGACGAAUGCCUGCGGGCUAAUCACCGUAGGUUUGACGGUACCCUCAGAGGAAGCCACGGCUAACUCUGU
rnacentral:rRNA from 1 species